rnacentral:rRNA from 1 species
GACGAACGCUGGCGGCGUGCUUAACACAUGCAAGUCGAGCGAUGAAGUUCCUUCGGGAAUGGAUUAGCGGCGGACGGGUGAGUAACACGUGGGUAACCUGCCUCAUAGAGGGGAAUAGCCUUCCGAAAGGAAGAUUAAUACCGCAUAAGAUUGUAGUAUCGCAUGAUACAGCAAUUAAAGGAGUAAUCCGCAACGAGAUGGACCCGCGUCGCAGUAGCUAGUUGGUGAGGUAACGGAGCACCAAGGCGACGAUGCGUAGCCGACCUGAGAGGGUGAUCGGCCACAUUGGGACUGAGACACGGCCCAGACUCCUACGGGAGGCAGCAGUGGGGAAUAUUGCACAAUGGGGGAAACCCUGAUGCAGCAACGCCGCGUGAGUGAUGACGGUCUUCGGAUUGUAAAGCUCUGUCUUCAGGGACGAUAAUGACGGUACCUGAGGAGGAAGCCACGGCUAACUACGUGCCAGCAGCCGCCGUAACAC